AGCCCCUCCCGGGCUGCAAGUUGGGGGACGGGGGUGAGGCGGGUGCGGAGCCGGGCCGCCUCUGCCUCCAGGUUGUGGAAAGGCCUCAUGUUUUCCCCAAGGGAUUGGGGGUGCAGUCCUGGCGGUAGGAGGUUCGGUGGCCCCCAAGGAGGGGAACCUAGGAGCGCGCACACGGCCCGGCACAGCGGGGAGAUCAUCCCGCCCCACAGCGCACUGGCCGCUCCCGGGGUCACUGCGCCGCCCCCACAGGAAACGGGCUCACUCAGGGCAGUAAGCCCCAGCGCACCGAGAACCCCUCCCAGCAUCAGGAAGAAAAGGAGGUGGCAGGCAGAAAGGGGAGAUGGAGAGAUAGAUGCAAGGGCGCUGGAAUGUGCCAGGGCGUGAGGGCAGGAGUGGGGACUGACCGCGGCAAGCUGAUCCAGUGGGUGCAGAGGUGCGUUCAGUCUGUGGGUGUCUCAGCCACCAGCGAAGCCUCCCACCUAUUACCCAGCCAUGUUGGCGGAAAAGUGUAGGAAACGCUGUUUGCUUGAGUUUGCUUGCUAAGCCCUCCCAGAGAAGCCAGGCGGGCAGGGUGGCCUUCAGCUGAGGUCCAGGGGUGAGGGGACAAAUGUGCAGAGGAAGGGGCGCUGGGUUAAGAGGGUGUCUGGUUCUGUGGGGUUUGGAAUAUCCUCAGACAGAGGAGAUAGAAGGUGCGUGUGGGAGGAAAAUGCAGAGUAAGGGACACCCAGAUCCAGGGAGGCUCAGCGCUGUCUCCCUGCCUGCACCUUCCCCCCUCCCGGGUGCAUUCUCCUUUCCUAAGCAGGAAUGGGGAGCUUGACUUCUCUGAAAGGGCUCCUCCUCCGUUUGCAUCUCUGUCAGCUCUAUCUGCUUCCUCCCUGUGCUAAGGCCCCCUCCCUCUCAAGCCAUGGGAGCAUGAGGAAGCCUUGGUUCCACCCAGCUGGGCUUCUUGCUCACAGGCUAACUCAGGCCCUUUGCCCUUGUGAAGUUGGUGGGAAGUUGCAGAAGCUGAAACAGCCUGUGGCUGGGCACCAGCCCCCGGAAUAGAGGGACUUUCACUGAGGUGGGGCUAGCUUUAAGCAAAAUGCAAUUCAUAGGGGCUGCCUACAGAGGGAGCAAGAAAUUGAGGCCUCUCCCUGAUGCCCCCAAGAAACUGAAUUCUGCCAACCAUCUCAUGAGCUUGCAAGCAGAUUCCAUCCCAGUCAAGCCUCAGAUGAGACCUCAGCCCUAGCCAACACCUUUAUGGCAGCCCUGCAGAAGUCCCAGUCCAAGAUGUCUAGACUUCUGUGAGAAACUAUGGUAAAAUAAAUGUGUACUGUUUUAA